rnacentral:lncRNA from 1 species
AGCAGGGUUGGGAAUGGGGAUGGAGGUGGGGAGGCUUCAGGAUGCAGGAAUGGGCUGUGAUUGUUCUCAGAGCUCAGGAAUUCAGGUGACUGAGGGUCUUCUGCAGACAGGAGUCAGAUCCAUCAGUCCUGAUUAGUGCAAAUUUUCCUGAAGCUUUUGGGCAUAAUCUGGUAAGCAAUUCAGCAGAUAAACAAGGACAGCUGCCUACAAGUCAACCAUGGUGCACCUCAGCUGACAGUGAGGGAUGCCGUUUCAGAAGACUGACUGUGCUUGAGAUUUUUAUAAAUAAGGACCCCUUUCCUCACUUCAAACUCCCAAAAAUGUCUGAGUUGUGGAAAUGGUUGGAAGUUGAGUCCGUCAGCUGGCAGAGGCCUGGAAGACACCAGCCCUCUCACCAGACCCUAUGCAGAGUUGUGGUUUUCCAGGAAGCAUUAGGGGCCAAGAGCACAGAGCUGUGGCAUGAAGGGAUCCAGGAAAAGGUGGAAGAAACAGCCAGGCAAGAAAGUACAAGUUCAUGUCAGCACUCCAGCGCCCUGCUCACUCCUGCUCAAGUGAGCUGACCUGCUACUGCCAGAAUGUUGCCUGGCUCCCUGAGUCACACAGAACAUCUGAAGAGGCAGUGUGGCAAAGGAAGUUAUUUUAGGUUGUUGUAAUAAUGGAAAGCUGACCAACAGAGGAUCAAACAAGUUCCGCUGCGAUGUUUUAGGACCUCAGCUGAGCACUCUUUCCUCUGCCUGAGGAGACCCAGCCUGGCCUCAGCAUGGCUUGUUAUCAUGCUGUUUUUUAUCAACUUAGCACCUGAGCGGCAUGGACACAGCCUUCUUUGAGGCUGUUGCCUUCAUUUCCC